AACGAACGUUGGCGGCGUGGAUUAGGCAUGCAAGUCGAACGAGAAAGCCACCUUCGGGUGGUUAGUAAAGUGGCGAACGGGUGAGUAACGCGUGGGAAAUCUGCCCUACAGUUGGGGAUAAUACUCCUAACGGAGUGCUAAUACCGAAUGAGACCACGAGAUCGCAUGGUCUUGAGGUUGAAGGUGGCCUCUCCUUGGAAGCUACCGCUGCAGGAGGAUCCCGCGUCCCAUUAGCUUGUUGGCAGGGUAACGGCCUACCAAGGCUUCGAUGGGUAGCUGGUCUGAGAGGAUGGUCAGCCACACUGGGACUGAGAUACGGCCCAGACUCCUACGGGAGGCAGCAGUCGAGAGGCUUCGGCAAUGGGGGGAAACCCUGACCGAGCGACGCCGCGUGGGCGAUGAAGGUUGUAAGAUCGUAAAGCCCUGUCAGGAGGGAAGAACUGCCAAUGGGCAAACAGGCCAUUGGUUUGACGGUACCUCCAGAGGAAGCUCCGGCUAACUCCGUGCCAG
rnacentral:rRNA from 1 species